GCGAGGCCGGGGGCUGCGGCGCGCGGGGCUGCCGACCUUCCCCGAGGGCGAUCUGGGGCCGCUGUGGCCGCUCGGCAGUCUGUCGGUUGGGUGACAUUUUAACGAAAGAGCCUGUGUCAGCGAAAAGGGGCUGCUAAGAAUCAACUGAUUCACGCGUUUGGAGGGAGUUGACAGAAGCCCUGACACUCACAAGCCACAUGGCGGGAACUGCGAGAACCUUAGCAGACGCGAGCUCGAAGCCGCUCGAGUGUCAGUUCCUGUGUGUACAAGCGCUUGCCAGCUCGCUCUGCAGACCUGUCUUUCUGUCAUUCUUACCUCGCCCUUUGCUAAACCAGCCCUCUGCGGCCGCCAGCCCUCUGAGGCCGUCAUCCGACUGCGGCCGGGCCUCCAUUCCUCUCUUACCUCGGUGCUGUCAUUUACCCUUUUCUGAAGCAAGAGGAACAAAACGCUCCCUGGACGUCUCAGGAGGAUCUCAUUUCCACCACAUUCCCCUAUCGUGGUCAGAGCCACGUCUGGCCGUCCCUGCUUUCUGGCUGUCCAUCAAUCAGGUUGUGUGGAGUCCAGAGGAAUUAAGAGGGUGUCAGAAAAGCUGCUUCCUGAAGUCUGCAGACUGGCUGUCCGUGCUCUACCAAGGGAAGAAAAAUGGAAGACUUGGAUCUGGUUUACGGUUCUCCUGAGUGGUGGUAUUGCCCAAACACAUGCCAUGUUGUCCACAGUGGCCCGGAAACAGCCAGAGGCAGCAGAGGCCACAUCUUGCCCAUCUCUGUAGACCCAACACCCUCACGCCGCGCCUGGUGUAUGUUUGCUACUCGGUUGUUCGCUGGGAAACAUCCUCGCAUGUCGGCUAAAUCCUUGAAAGAACAGAUGAAGGACUGGAGUGGCGUUGAUGCACUAAUAACGACCGUGUAAAGCCUUCAUCGUUUCACUUAAAAAUCCGUCUGAGGAAGCUCAAAGCUCAGCCAACUGGCCUUAAAAUUGUUCGUUGUGCCCCGUUAAAGAGAAAGGGAAGAGGAAAAAAAAGGCUUGAAAAGUGCCAGAGACUGUGGAAAAUAAAUCAUUGCUGUUAGGUUCUGCCCAUUUCAUCAACAUUCCCUGUUGCUCUUCCAGAGAGGUCUGGCCUAGCUGGAGCUUGACAUUGCCUGAUACCUUCCAUUUAUCUCUUGGUUUCUCUCUCAAAGGGAAGUAUUUGGGAGAAGUGAACUCCCCACCCUCUGCUGCAAGCGCCUUAGUGACUGCAUUCAGCACGGCUCUUGCUGUCGUGGAGGGCUAGAGUAUGCGGCCUGGCAGGGCCUGGAGAUAACCAGCCUUAGAAAACCUGCCACUAGGACAUUCCGAUCCUGCAUCUGGUUGCACCUUGGGUUCGAACAUGCCCAGGUCCACUGCGGCUGAAAUAGAGUCCGCUGUAUGGUGCCAUUUCAAGGUAAGGACAGGCUUGUUUAGAAUAUGUUAAAGUCACUUUUUCCACCGAUAAAUUAGUCCUGAGCACCUUGAGUCCUUUCCCCUGUUUAUGUCCAGGAGCAGGGACAGCCUCAGUCCUUCCUAGGCCCUGGGAUCAAGGCCCUUCUGCCCUCUUGUCAAGACCAUGCAAUUCUCCCAUCCAUCCCAGCAUCAUGGGCUACCCUGCACCCUGAGGGCCACACCUGAAAAGAAGGGGGCUCCUGCUUUAAUUGGGAGCCCUCUGUUCUGGGAUAUGUUGGCCCAAGGCUCAGAAAUAAAUAGGAGACCUAACACUCUUCUGCUUCAGCUAAUAAUAAUAAUAACAAUAUCAACAAGUAUUCUAGCUACAGAUUGCUUGUGCUGUGCCAGGCUUUACACUAAGCACUUUAUAUAUCGUCUCGUUCCAUCCUCACUCCAGUCCUAGGGGAUUGGUGUUACUAUCCUCAUUUCUCAAACCUACCUAGCCUCCCGGCUACUGAAUGGUAGAGUCCAGUUUCCAAGCUCCUAGCCUCUCCAACCCUUCUGCGUCCCCAGGGAUAUCUGGCAGGCUGAUCCUGUCCUUGAACCUGGAGCAGUUGCCGUACACCAUGAGGAUUCCCCAGGUCACCCACUGCCUUAUGGACGAUCUGGGGUAUUUUUACUCUCCUUCCCAUCCAAUCUCACCACGGGGGACCCAUCUCAAUCCCUCAUGCUCCAGGAAACCUCCCUGACUCUACCAGGGUCCACUGAC